rnacentral:rRNA from 1 species
GACGAACGCUGGCGGCGUGCCUAAUACAUGCAAGUAGGACGCACAGGAUGCACCGUAGUUUACUACACCGUAUUCUUUGAGUUGCGAACGGGUGAGUAACGCGUAGGUAACCUGCCUGGUAGCGGGGGAUAACUAUUGGAAACGAUAGCUAAUACCGCAUAAGAACAUUUACUGCAUGGUAGAUGUUUAAAAGGUGCAAAUGCAUCACUACCAGAUGGACCUGCGUUGUAUUAGCUAGUAGGUGAGGUAACGGCUCACCUAGGCGACGAUACAUAGCCGACCUGAGAGGGUGAUCGGCCACACUGGGACUGAGACACGGCCCAGACUCCUACGGGAGGCAGCAGUAGGGAAUCUUCGGCAAUGGGGGGAACCCUGACCGAGCAACGCCGCGUAAGUGAAGAAGGUUUUCGGAUCGUAAAGCUCUGUUGUUAAGGAAGAACGAGUGUGAGAA